rnacentral:rRNA from 1 species
UACGGAGGAUGCAAGCGUUAUCCGGAAUGAUUGGGCGUAAAGCGUCCGCAGGUGGCUGUGUAAGUCUGCUGUCAAAGAGCGAAGCUCAACUUCGUAAAGGCAGUGGAAACUACACGGCUAGAGUGCGUUCGGGGCAGAGGGAAUUCCUGGUGUAGCGGUGAAAUGCGUAGAGAUCAGGAAGAACACCGGUGGCGAAGGCGCUCUGCUAGGCCGCAACUGACACUGAGGGACGAAAGCUAGUGGAGCGAAUGGG